rnacentral:rRNA from 1 species
GAUGAACGCUGGCGGCGUGCCUAAUACAUGCAAGUCGAGCGAACAGACGAGGAGCUUGCUCCUCUGACGUUAGCGGCGGACGGGUGAGUAACACGUGGAUAACCUACCUAUAAGACUGGGAUAACUUCGGGAAACCGGAGCUAAUACCGGAUAAUAUAUUGAACCGCAUGGUUCAAUAGUGAAAGACGGUUUUGCUGUCACUUAUAGAUGGAUCCGCGCCGCAUUAGCUAGUUGGUAAGGUAACGGCUUACCAAGGCAACGAUGCGUAGCCGACCUGAGAGGGUGAUCAGCCACACUGGAACUGAGACACGAUCCAGACUCCUACGGGAGGCAGCAGUAGGGAAUCUUCCGCAAUGGGCGAAAGCCUGACGGAGCAACGCCACGUGAGUGAUGAAGGUCUUCGGAUCGUAAAACGCUGUUAUUAGGGAAGAACAAAUGUGUAAGUAACUAUGCACGUCUUGACGGUACCUAAUCAGAAAGCCACGGCUAACUACGUG